rnacentral:rRNA from 1 species
CGUAUGUAACCUACCCAUAUCAGGGGGAUAGCCUCUCGAAAGAGAGAUUAAGCCCGCAUAAAAUCACAGGAUAGCAUUAUCCAAUGAUCAAAUAUUUAUAGGAUAUGGAUGGGCAUGCGGAACAUUAGCUAGUUGGUAAGGUAACGGCUUACCAAGGCUACGAUGUUUAGGGGAUCUGAGAGGAUGACCCCCCACACUGGUACUGAGACACGGACCAG